AUGUUUAUUAGUAGCCCCGCGCACGAAUCUGUGAGCCAGUAGCCUGCCAGUAGCUUGCUGCCGCCCUCCAGUAGUUCUCCGCCCACUGCCCCGCCCUCCUGAAGCUCCUCCCAUCCCCCCUCAUAGCUUGCAG